rnacentral:lncRNA from 1 species
AACAAAAGCAGGUAAAGGUAAGUCAGGAAUUCUAAAGGGCUGCCUUCCACCACUAAAGCUCCAGGCAUCAUCAAAUGUCAGACUAGUAUCAUUUGCAGAGUCAGUUAAUAGAGAGAGUUUAAGUAAUGUAAUAGAAUCAAAAUGUUUUCCACAGAAAAAGAAGGCAGAUAGAGAAAAUAUAGUAGAUGUGAAAGACAUAAUGGGCCUCAUAUGUAUCACUCUGAAAGGAAAGAAAUCACCUUUUAAACAUUUACUGCAUGGAAAGGAACCACAACGGAGCAAUAAAAAACUAGAGAAAAUUAUGCAGGAAGAUGAAAGUAAUCUAAAUGUAGUUCAGAAUAAAUUCUGUACUUCUAUUCUUUCUCCACCUCACUUGGAAUGGAAUCCCAGAAUAAAAGAGGUAUACAUGAGAGGAAUAACAAGAUUCUAUCUUUCAUUGUCAACACACCAGGAAUUAUCAGAUACAAUGGAAAAAUGUGAGCAGCCAAUUGAUGAUAGUUUAAGCAGUAUCAAAAAAGCAAAACAUGUGCCGCAGAAAGACAAAGACAGAGUGGAAAAGGCUUUGGAAAAAAACAUGCAUUCCAAAAGAAUAGCUCUGGAGGUGAAGCAACCUUCAGUAUUCCAAGAAUUAGUGUUGAACAUCAAAGAAAAAGGGGGAAAGAUUCAGAAAGAUAAACAAGUUGAGAUUUUGAACAAAGCUUUUGCUUCCAUCUCUUUUCCACCUUACUCUAAAGUGGGCACAAUUAAAGGAGAGGAAGCCAUGGAAAUAAAAAUGAGAUCCUCUUUUUCACAACCAAAUCUCCAAGAGUCAUCAGAUACAGAGAAAAUAGCAUAUGAAAAGUGUAUUUCUGAUAAUAUCUCAAACCGUGUAAAAAAGGCCCUAGAACCUAUACUGCAAAAAAAACAGGAGAGGCAAAAAAUGGAAAAAAAUAGGCCUUUGAAGAAAAUGAAAUCAUCAGUUUCACAGGGAAUUCAGUUGGACAUCAAAGAGCAAGAGAAAAAGAUAGAACGUAUUAAAGGUGAAACAAGUGUGCUUCUGACGAAUGCCUGCGCUUCCAUCCCUUCUCCUUCUCAUUUACAACUGGAAACAAGGAGAGAAAAAGCAGAGCAUGUCACUGAAAUAACAAGAUACUGUCUUCCAGAACUAUCACACCAAAAAUCAUCAGAGGCAGGGGAAAAAGCAGAUGGACUGGCCAGUGAGGGUGAUAUCACAACCGAAGUACAAAAGGCAAAAGAUUACAUGCAACAGAAAGAAAAGGAUGAAGUAAAAAUAUCGGCUAAGAAAGACAUAAUGCAUCCAGAAGACAAAGGUCUGAAAGGAAAGAAGGCACUUUCACAAGACCUACCAUUGAAUACUAAAGAGCCAGGGAAAAUGGAUCAAGAAGCUCAGGAGCAAGGGAAAGAGGACAGAGAAGGUGAGGAGCAAGGGAAAGAGGACAGAAGAGGUGCAGGACAAGAAAAGGUUGAUAGGGAAGACAAAGAGCAAGGGAAAAUGGAUCACAAAGUUGAAGAGCAACAGAAAGCAGAUGGAGUAGGCAUAGAGCAAGGGAAAAUGCACGGAGACAAGAGUGAACAGGAAACAGUUCUGUUCCUAUAUUUGCCUUCCAAUUCUUCUCUAACCUAUUAUAAAUUGGACACAAGAAUAGAAGGAAAGGAAGACCAACAAGGAAUAAUCAGACCUGGUAUUUCACAACUAAGGCCUCAGAAAUCAUCAGAGACCAGGAAAAAAGCAAAUGGAGUGCCUAGUGAGGGUGAUAUCACAAGUGAAGUACAAAAAGCAAAAGAUUACAUGCAACAGAAAGAAGAGGAUGAAGUAAAAAUAUCAGCUGAGAAAGACUUAAUGCAUCCAAAAGACAAAGAUCUGAAAGGAAAGAAGGCACUUUCACAAAACCUACUACUGAAUCCUAAAGAGCCAGGGAAACGGGAUGGAGAAGGACAGGAGCAAGGGAAAGAGGACAGAGAAGGUGAGGAGCAAAGGAAAAGGGAUGGAGAAGUUGAAGGGCAACAGCAAGCAGAUGGAAUAGGCACAGAGCAAGGGAAAGGGGAAGGACACAAGAGUAAACAGGAAACAGUUCUGUUCCUAUAUUUGCCGUCUGAGUCUUCUCUAACUCGUUAUGAAUGGAACACAAGAAAAGAAGGAGAGAAAGACUUACAAGGAAUAAUAAAAUCUGCUGCUUUGCAACUAAGGCAGCAGAAAUCAUUUGAUGCAGGGAAAAUAGCACAUACAAACUCAUUUGCGGUGGAUAGCUCAAAUGAUGUAAAAACAGUACAAGAAUACAAGCCACAGAAAGAAGCAGAUAGAGGAGAAAUAGUAAGUGUGGAUUAUAUAAUGCAACCUGAAGGCACAAUUUUUGAGGCAGAGCAAUUAUCAUUUCUACACACACUCAAUAUUCCUGGCAGCAGUGGCUCCAAAACUAGAGAAGUACCAACAAACUUAAAAGAAAAAUUGAGACAUGUACAGGAAAGAAAAAGUGAGCUAGAUGAGUUUCUGACAAUACCUUCUCUACCUCACUGUAAAUUAGACAAAGGAACAGCAGGCAAAAAAGAGGAACAAGGAGUAACAAGAUCUUUUCUUCCACCCUCAUGGCACAUGGAAUCAUCAGAUACAGG